GACGAACGCUGGCGGCGUGCUUAACACAUGCAAGUCGAACGGAAAGGCCCUGCUUUUGUGGGGUGCUCGAGUGGCGAACGGGUGAGUAACACGUGAGUAACCUGCCCUUGACUUUGGGAUAACUUCAGGAAACUGGGGCUAAUACCGGAUAGGAGCUCCUGCUGCAUGGUGGGGGUUGGAAAGUUUCGGCGGUUGGGGAUGGACUCGCGGCUUCUCGGCUUGUCGGUGGGGUAGUGGCUUACCAAGGCUUUGACGGGUAGCCGGCCUGAGGGGGUGACCGGCGGCAUUGGGACUGAGAUACGGCCCAGAGUCCUACGGGAGGCAGCAGUGGGGAAGAUUGCGCAAUGGGCGGAAGCCUGAUGCAGCAACGCCGCGUGCGGGAUGACGGCCUUCGGGUUGUAAACCGCUUUCGCCUGUGACGAAGCGUGAGUGACGGUAAUGGGUAAAGAAGCACCGGCUAACUACGUG
rnacentral:rRNA from 1 species